rnacentral:rRNA from 1 species
AGUGAACGCUGGCGGUAGGCCUAACACAUGCAAGUCGAACGGCAGCACAGUAAGAGCUUGCUCUUACGGGUGGCGAGUGGCGGACGGGUGAGGAAUACAUCGGAAUCUACUUUUUCGUGGGGGAUAACGUAGGGAAACUUACGCUAAUACCGCAUACGACCUACGGGUGAAAGCAGGGGAUCUUCGGACCUUGCGCGAUUGAAUGAGCCGAUGUCGGAUUAGCUAGUUGGCGGGGUAAAGGCCCACCAAGGCGACGAUCCGUAGCUGGUCUGAGAGGAUGAUCAGCCACACUGGAACUGAGACACGGUCCAGACUCCUACGGGAGGCAGCAGUGGGGAAUAUUGGACAAUGGGCGCAAGCCUGAUCCAGCCAUACCGCGUGGGUGAAGAAGGCCUUCGGGUUGUAAAGCCCUUUUGUUGGGAAAGAAAAGCAGCAGGUUAAUACCCCGCUGUUCUGACGGUACCCAAAGAAUUAGCACCGGCGAACUUCGU